rnacentral:misc_RNA from 1 species
GAUGAAGAACGUAGCGAAAUGCGAUAAGUAGUGUGAAUUGCAGAAUUCAGUGAAUCAUCGAAUCUUUGAACGCACAUUGCGCCCCUUGGUAUUCCAUGGGGCAUGCCUGUUCGAGCGUCAUUUGUACCCUCAAGCUUUGCUUGGUGUUGGGCGUCUUGUCGUAUUACGACUCGCCUUAAAUACAUUGGCAGCCGGCACUUAGGCCUAGGAGCGCAGCACAUUUUGCGAUCGUAGCCCGUUGUACUGGCGUCCAUCAAGAACAUUUACCACGUUUGACCUCGGAUCAGGUAGGGAUACCCGCUGAACUUAAGCAUAUCAAUAAGCGGAGGA